UUUUUUUUUUUUGUAAAACCAAAUAAUUGAAGAUGAUUUCAUUCCAAUACGUCCCAUUUCAUCCAUUUUCAUCUAUCCAAAUUGACUUAUGGAGGGUGUAUUUCUCUGAAGAUUUUAAAUUUGAAUCUCAAUAGACAAUGAAAUUGAUUGAUAGGUCACAUUAGGUCUCUAAGGCCAGAUAGGUAGAGUUAAAAAAAACCAGCAAAAAUAUCAAAAGCAACAAAAUACAAAAUUCCAACCACUUUAAAUCAUAAGCAUUAACUUAGUAUACAUAUUCCCUACUUGCUAAUAACAACCUAGCGGCAUUGUUUUACAAAACACCUAAAUUGAAUACAAACAUAAACACUAGCAUUCAAGCACAGCAGAAACCAAACAAAGAAGAAUCGAACAGAACAAAAUACCAAAACUUAUCGAGUCGAACACGGCAAUAGAAUGGAGUUGAACGGCGGCGAGCAACUGGAGUUGAAUGACGACGAGCUAAUGGUUUGAACAACGGUGGCAAAAUGAUUCAAUCGGUUUCCAUCGAUUUAACUAUAUCAAUCAACCCAAUCAACUUCAUUACCUAUUUUAAUGAUUUAUAAUUAAACUUUAAUUACAUCAUAUAGGAUUAGAAUCUUCAUUUAUUAAUCUGUAUAUUUUUUUCUUUCUACAACUAUUAAUAAAAAAAAAUAGUGUUUACGUUUAAUAUCAAAUUUUUAUAUGAGAUUAAUUACUAUACACUGUCAGUGUAAAAAGUUUUACACCGUCGAUUCAUCACCAUCAUCCGUUUGUAUUACUUUAUAGAUUUUUAAAAUAAAAGUCAAACUUCUUUUAAUAUUCGACGUCUAUGAUUAAUUGACGGUGUAAAAUCCUUUUACAUUGUCAGUGUAUUUCAAUUAAGCUCUUUUUAUAUUUCAAAACAAAACAAUAGUUUUGAAGUGUUAUUUUUGCACUGACUUUAUUGGUUUUCCAUUGUAGUGGUGUGACUCUAUAGGAAAAUGAUUCUAGGGAAAAUUUAAAUCUGUUUUUGUGCUGUGAUAUUUCCUCCUUGUUGUUUCCAUAUUUAGAGAAGAUAUGAAUGACUACAUAUAGUAGUAGUUUUAUAUUGCAAUUCAAAUUUGGCAUUAGAUUCUUGCUUAAAACAAGGGAAGCCAAUAUAAAUGUGGAUAAAUAAAGCAAUUGCUCUCUGACAAGAUAAUUCAUGUUGAUCACAUACACAGAAUGUCAUGUGAUGAAUAAAUCUACAUCAUAUAUGGAACAAUAUGAGCAAAAAGUUGAAUAAAACAUUUAUUUGUAACUUUAUUGUUUUGCUAUUAUACACUUGAUGCAUAACAUAGUUUUUGUUAAUGCAUACAGAAAACUUUGAAAAUCUCAGCCUCUCAGCUUGUUGAGAGUUACUGAGUUACAUGUAUAUAUAUACUUCAGUUGUGAAGUUACAAUAAAAGCUAAUAACAAUAACACAAAAUCAAAAGCUUCUCAGAAUAGCAUUUGGCUUUUUCUGAUUGCGGCUAUACCAAGACAGAAGAAAUUUCCCAUUGUAUGAACUUGAUCUCUUCAUUGGACUAGCAACACCCUGCAAAUAUCUUGUUGACCUAAAAGAAAAGCUACUACUACCACCUUUGGAUGUAGUUGCUAAAUUCUCACUUCCAUUAACCUUUGAAACACUAUCUUCAUCACCAUUACAUUCCUUUGACAGAACAGUUGCAACAACACUAUUGAUACCUAC
rnacentral:lncRNA from 1 species